rnacentral:rRNA from 1 species
UACAGAGGGUGCGAGCGUUAAUCGGAAUUACUGGGCGUAAAGCGCGCGUAGGCGGCUUUGCAAGUCGAGUGUGAAAUCCCCAGGCUUAACCUGGGAACUGCAUUCGAGACUGCAUAGCUAGAGUAUGGGAGAGGGAAGUGGAAUUUCAGGUGUAGCGGUGAAAUGCGUAGAUAUCUGGAGGAACACCGGUGGCGAAGGCGGCAUCCUGGACCGACAUUGACGCUGAGGCGCGAAAGCUAGGGGAGCAAACGGG